rnacentral:rRNA from 1 species
AGGAGACGCUGGCGGCGUGCCUAACACAUGCAAGUCGAGCGGAGAUAAGCGGAAGGUAACUGAAGCUUAUCUUAGCGGCGGACGGGUGAGUAACACGUGGGCAACCUGCCUUGAAGUGGGGGAUAACACCGGGAAAUCGGUGCUAAUACCGCAUAACAUACACAAACUGCAUGGUAAGUGUAUCAAAGGAGCAAUCCGCUUUAAGAUGGGCCCGCGGCUGAUUAGCUAGUUGGUAAGGUAACGGCUUACCAAGGCGACGAUCAGUAGCCGACCUGAGAGGGUGACCGGCCACACUGGAACUGAGACACGGUCCAGACUCCUACGGGAGGCAGCAGUGGGGAAUAUUGCGCAAUGGGGGGAACCCUGACGCAGCAACGCCGCGUGGAGGAAGAAGGUCUUCGGAUUGUAAACUCCUGUCUUCUGGGACGAAUAAUGACGGUACCAGAGGAGGAAGCCACGGCUAACUACGUG